AAUAAACACAAAUAUAAAUUUUCGUAUUCAAUUUUAAUUGUUUGUUUUAUUUUAAGUUUUUAUGAUUAGUAUUUUAUUAUUAUUAGAUUAUAAAAUAUAAAUAAUAUUUUAUACGUGCUUUAUGUUUUUUUAUUUUUUAAAAAAAAAUUAAAUAAAAUGAACGAUUAAAAUUGGACACAGAGAAAUUUAUAGCUACGUUUAUU
rfam:Oryza sativa Japonica Group DNA, chromosome 5, cultivar: Nipponbare, complete sequence.